rnacentral:rRNA from 1 species
GAUGAACGCUGGCGGCGUGCUUAACACAUGCAAGUCGAACGAAGAUGCCGGAGUGCUUGCACUUUGGCAGACUGAGUGGCGGACGGGUGAGUAACGCGUGGGUAACCUGCCUUAUACAGGGGGAUAACAGUUGGAAACGACUGCUAAUACCGCAUAAGCGCACGGUAUCGCAUGAUACAGUGUGAAAAACUCCGGUGGUAUAAGAUGGACCCGCGUCUGAUUAGCUUGUUGGUGAGGUAACGGCCCACCAAGGCGACGAUCAGUAGCCGGCCUGAGAGGGUGAACGGCCACAUUGGGACUGAGACACGGCCCAAAACUCCUACGGGAGGCAGCAGUGGGGAAUAUUGCACAAUGGGGGAAACCCUGAUGCAGCGACGCCGCGUGAGUGAUGAAGUAUUUCGGUAUGUAAAACUCUAUCAGCAGGGAAGAUAAAUGACGGUACCUGACUAAGAAGCACCGGCUAAAAUACGUG